rnacentral:misc_RNA from 1 species
AGCAGCCGCGGUAAUUCCAGCUCCAAUAGCGUAUAUUAAAGUUGUUGCAGUUAAAAAGCUCGUAGUUGAAUUUCGGGAUUAGUUUGUUGGUCGUGCUUCGGUACGUACUGUCAUUACUGGUUUCUACCCUCUGAAGAACCUUGAUGUCAUUAAUUUGGUGUCUUGGGGGAAUCAGGACUGUUACUUUGAAAAAAUUAGAGUGUUUAAAGCAAGCAUACGCUUGAAUACAUUAGCAUGGAAUAAUGAAAUAGGACGUUUGAUUCUAUUUUGUUGGUUUCUAGGAUCGACGUAAUGAUUAAUAGGGAUAGUUGGGGGGCAUUAGUAUUCAAUUGUCAGAGGUGAAAUUCUUGGAUUUAUUGAAGACUAACUACCGCGAAAGCAUUUGCCAAGGAUGUUUUCAUUAAUCAAGAACGAAAGUUAGGGGAUCGAAGACGAAUCAGAUACCGUCGUAGUCUUAACUAUAAACUAUGCCGACUAGGGAUCGGAUGAUGUUAUUUUUUAAUGACUUUCAUUCGGCGCC